GACGAACGCUGGCGGCGUGCUUAACACAUGCCAGUCGAACGCUGAAGCUUGGUGCUUGCACUGGGUGGAUGAGUGGCGAACGGGUGAGUAAUACGUGAGUAACCUGCCCUUGACUCUGGGAUAAGCCUGGGAAACUGGGUCUAAUACUGGAUACGACAUGUCACCGCAUGGUGGUGUGUGGAAAGGGUUUUACUGGUUUUGGAUGGGCUCACGGCCUAUCAGCUUGUUGGUGGGGUAAUGGCUCACCAAGGCGACGACGGGUAGCCGGCCUGAGAGGGUGACCGGCCACACUGGGACUGAGACACGGCCCAGACUCCUACGGGAGGCAGCAGUGGGGAAUAUUGCACAAUGGGCGGAAGCCUGAUGCAGCGACGCCGCGUGAGGGAUGACGGCCUUCGGGUUGUAAACCUCUUUCAGCACGGAAGAAGCGAAAGUGACGGUACGUGCAGAAGAAGCGCCGGCUAACUACGUG
rnacentral:rRNA from 1 species